rnacentral:rRNA from 1 species
AACGAACGCUGGCGGCAUGCCUAACACAUGCAAGUCGAACGAGACCUUCGGGUCUAGUGGCGCACGGGUGCGUAACGCGUGGGAACCUGCCCUUAGGUUCGGAAUAACUCCCCGAAAGGGGUGCUAAUACCGGAUAAUGUCUUCGGACCCAAGAUUUAUCGCCUUUGGAUGGGCCCGCGUUGGAUUAGCUAGUUGGUAGGGUAAAAGCCUACCAAGGCGACGAUCCAUAGCUGGUCUGAGAGGAUGAUCAGCCACACUGGGAGUGAGACACGGCCCAGACUCCUACGGGAGGCAGCAGUGGGGAAUAUUGGACAAUGGGCGAAAGCCUGAUCCAGCAAUGCCGCGUGAGUGAUGAAGGCCUUAGGGUUGUAAAGCUCUUUUACCCGGGAUGAUAAUGACAGUACCGGGAGAAUAAGCGCCGGCUAACUCCGUG